UACGUAGGGCGCAAGCGUUAUCCGGAAUUAUUGGGCGUAAAGAGCUCGUAGGCGGUUUGUCGCGUCUGCUGUGAAAGACCGGGGCUCAACUCCGGUUCUGCAGUGGGUACGGGCAGACUAGAGUGCAGUAGGGGAGACUGGAAUUCCUGGUGUAGCGGUGAAAUGCGCAGAUAUCAGGAGGAACACCGAUGGCGAAGGCAGGUCUCUGGGCCGAUACUGACGCUGAGGAGCGAAAGCGUGGGGAGCGAACAGG
rnacentral:rRNA from 1 species